GUUUUGGUGUUUUUGAUUCAAUGGUGGGCAAUGGCGGUAUACGGUCUAUGGACUUUCAUUGACCCGGCGGCAGUGCCGGCCACUAUUUAUCACCUGGUAACAACAUUUUCGAACAUUGGCGGACUUUUGAAUUUCCUUGUGUAUAUCUACAUCAAGCGGCGUUUACAUACAUUUAAACCCCCCACUGACAUUUCUCGCCAAAAUUGUAAUGGACAAGAAUCAGUGCCCGGUUCUUAACGUAUUUGUAUUAAUGUACUAUUCCUGUAUAUGUAUGAAAUUUAAUGUAUCUGAUAUUUUUAUUACGCAGUUUUGCAACAGUUUAUAUGUUGACGACGACUAGGAUACAUUUAGUUGAUUUGACAAUUCCUUAUACAUAUAAACUAAAGUCAUCAAUGCGCCCAUAACUUUCCAUUUUACAUAUCAGUUAUGUAGGACUUUAGCACGUUAUGUACAAUAAUAAGAGUAUUCCUUGAGAUAGGACGAGUGAAUAUUCUCUGAGAAUCCACUUGAGGAUUACCCUAGGUUUGCGUGACCCUAGCCUGUGCCCGGAUAUGUCCAGGGGAUUCCCCUAGUGUGUCCCUCGCUAUCACAACAAAAUCCAUUUUAGAAGGAGGAUUCAUGUUGCCAAUUUUGAACGAUUAAGAGGUCUGAGAGAAGCAAGUACUUCAGAGUGUGUGGAUUUCGAUAAUGGAUUUUUAAUUUUAAAAAAAAUAGUUACCUGUCUCUGAG
rnacentral:misc_RNA from 1 species